rnacentral:rRNA from 1 species
UUCCGGUUGAUCCUGCCGCCGGACCUGACUGCUAUCGGAUUGAUACUAAGCCAUGCGAGUCAUUGUAGCAAUACAAGGCAGACGGCUCAGUAACGCGUAGUCAACCUAACCUAUGGACGGGAAUAAUCUCGGGAAACUGAGAAUAAUGCCCGAUAGAACAUUAUGCCUGGAAUGGUUUAUGUUCCAAAUGAUUUAUCGCCGUAGGAUGGGACUGCGGCCUAUCAGUUUGUUGGUGAGGUAAUGGCCCACCAAGACUAUUACAGGUACGGGCUCUGAGAGGAGUAGCCCGGAGAUGGGUACUGAGACACGGACCCAGGCCCUAUGGGGCGCAGCAGGCGAGAAAACUUUGCAAUGUGCGAAAGCACGACAAGGUUAAUCCGAGUGGUUUCUGCUAAAGGAACCUUUUGUCAGUCCUAGAAACACCGACGAAUAAGGGGUGGGCAAGUUCUGGUGUCAGCCGCCGCGGUAAAACCAGCACCUCAAGUGGUCAGGAUGAUUAUUGGGCCUAAAGCAUCCGUAGCCGGCGCUAUAAGUUUUCGGUUAAAUCUGUACGCUCAACGUACAGGCUGCCGGGAAUACUGCAGCGCUAGGGAGUGGGAGAGGUAGACGGUACUCGGUAGGAAGGGGUAAAAUCCUCUGAUCUAUUGAUGACCACCUGUGGCGAAGGCGGUCUACCAGAACACGUCCGACGGUGAGGGAUGAAAGCUGGGGGAGCAAACCGGAUUAGAUACCCGGGUAGUCCCAGCUGUAAACUAUGCAAACUCAGUGAUGCAUUGGCUUUAAGCCAGUGCAGUAUUGCAGGGAAGCCGUUAAGUUUGCCGCCUGGGAAGUACGUACGCAAGUAUGAAACUUAAAGGAAUUGGCGGGGGAGCACCACAAGGGGUGAAGCCUGCGGUUCAAUUGGAUUCAACGCCGGG